rnacentral:rRNA from 1 species
CCUACGGGAGGCAGCAGUAGGGAAUAUUGCUCAAUGGGGGAAACCCUGAAGCAGCAACGCCGCGUGGGGGAUGAAGGUUUUCGGAUUGUAAACUCCUUUUGUUAGAGAAGAUAAUGACGGUAUCUAACGAAUAAGCACCGGCUAACUCCGUGCCAGCAGCCGCGGUAAUACGGAGGGUGCAAGCGUUAAUCGGAAUCACUGGGCGUAAAGAGCGCGUAGGCGGGAUAGCAAGUCAGAUGUGAAAUCCUAGGGCUUAACCAUAGAACUGCAUUUGAAACUGGUAUUCUAGAGUAUGGGAGAGGUAGGUGGAAUUCUUGGUGUAGGGGUAAAAUCCGUAGAGAUCAAGAGGAAUACUCAUUGCGAAGGCGACCUGCUAGAACAUAACUGACGCUGAUGCGCGAAAGCGUGGGGAGCAAACAGGAUUAGAUACCCGUGUAGUC